rnacentral:rRNA from 1 species
AGCGCAGGCGGUGCGGCAAGUCUGAUGUGAAAGCCCGGGGCUCAACCCCGGUACUGCAUUGGAAACUGUCGUACUAGAGUGUCGGAGGGGUAAGCGGAAUUCCUAGUGUAGCGGUGAAAUGCGUAGAUAUUAGGAGGAACACCAGUGGCGAAGGCGGCUUACUGGACGAUAACUGACGCUGAGGCUCGAAAGUAUGGGUAGCAAACA